UACGUAGGGGGCUAGCGUUGUCCGGAAUUACUGGGCGUAAAGGGCUCGUAGGCGGCCAACUAAGUCGGACGUGAAAUCCCUCAGCUUAACUGGGGAACUGCGUCCGAUACUGGAUGGCUUGGAUUUGGGAGAGGGAUGCGGAAUUCCAGGUGUAGCGGUGAAAUGCGUAGAUAUCUGGAGGAACACCGGUGGCGAAGGCGGCAUCCUGGACCAAUAUUGACGCUGAGGAGCGAAAGCCAGGGGAGCAAACGGG
rnacentral:rRNA from 1 species